CCUACGGGUGGCAGCAGUGGGGAAUAUUGGGCAAUGGGCGCAAGCCUGACCCAGCAACGCCGCGUGAAGGAAGAAGGCUUUCGGGUUGUAAACUUCUUUUCUCAGGGACGAAGAAAGUGACGGUACCUGAGGAAUAAGCCACGGCUAACUACGUGCCAGCAGCCGCGGUAAUACGUAGGUGGCAAGCGUUAUCCGGAUUUACUGGGUGUAAAGGGCGUGUAGGCGGGACUGCAAGUCAGAUGUGAAACCCACGGGCUCAACCUGUGGACUGCAUUUGAAACUGUAGUUCUUGAGUACUGGAGAGGUAUGCGGAAUUCCUAGUGUAGCGGUGAAAUGCGUAGAUAUUAGGAGGAACACCAGUGGCGAAGGCGGUCUACUGGACAGCAACUGACGCUGAGGCGCGAAAGCGUGGGGAGCAAACAGGAUUAGAUACCCUGGUAGUC
rnacentral:rRNA from 1 species